ensembl:lncRNA
GGCUAAACACCAUUAUCAGGUAGAGCAUGCACUGCAGUAUGUGAGGGAUUCAUACAGGUUUUAUUUGUGUAUAGUCAGAGAAAGUAUGACACAACCACUUAGAAGCAUUAGCUUCUGUUAACAGUUGUUUACUUAUUCGUCGGUAGAAAUUCCACGUACAAUGAGUCAGAGUUUGUUCUGAAUACCAUCCUUCCACCAUGCAGACCAAAUAAAGAUCAGACUCAGAAAAACAAAAAUAUUUCUGUAAGGCAGAAACCUAAUGCUUACAUCUCAGUCUCCAACUCCUAGAUAAUACAUGACAGCAUUUGGGGUGUAUACAUAUGCUUCCAGAAUCAAAAUAAAGGGGGAAAACGCUGUAUCUGACUUUACUUUAAAUGAAAGUUGACCUCUCUUGGCACACAUCUGGGUUUUUUUUGCGUUCAAUCAACUGGCGAUGUGAACAGGCCACUCCAAAGGAACCACUGUGACACUUCAGAACAGAUGGCUUUGACAAGCAAUUAUGAAUAUCUGGGUGAUUUCAUAGUGAAAUAAAGUCCCCAUAAACAAUCAGUAGAUGUGAUCCACACACACACACACACACACACACACACACACACACACACACACACACACACACACACACACACACACACACACACACACACACACACACACACACACACACACACACACACACACACAAUGUGGAUUUGAUCAGCCCUGCUCCCUGCAGUUACAGGGAGAUCAGUGACAUUCUUCAAGGCCAGAGAAAGAUUAAAGAUGCUCUCUGUCUGUCAGGGUUCUGAUCAUAUAUUCACAAACGAGGCCUGUGAAGAACACAUCUUUAAAGUGUGGCUUGCAGGAAAUAACAUGAAUACUUAUUCUAAUGACAGACCAUUAUACUAAUCAUAAACUCAGUAAAAAAAAGUCUUCUCACUGUCAACUGUGUUUAUUUUCAGCAAAUUUAACAUAUAAAUAUAAACAUUUCUAUGUAUUUGUAAAUAUUUGUAUGAACAUAAGAUUCAACAACUGAGACAUAAACUGAACAAGUUCCACAGACAUGUAACUAACAUAAAUAGAAUAAUGUGUCCCUGAACAAAGGGGGGGUCAAAAUCAAAAGUAACAGUCAGUAUCUGGUGUGGCCACCAGCUGCAUUAAGUACUGCAUUGCAUCUCCUCCUCAUGGACUGCACCAGAUUUGCCCGUUCUUGCUGUGAGAUGUUACCCCACUCUUCCACCAAGGUACCCGGACAUUUCUGGGGGGAAUGGCCCUAGCCCUCACCCUCCGAUCCAACAAGUCCCAGAUGUGCUCAAUGGGAUUGAGAUCGGGGCUUUUCGCUGGCCAUGGCAGAACACUGACAUUCCUGUCUUGCAGGAAAUCACACACAGAACAAGCAGUAUGGCUGGUGGCAUUGUCAUGCUGGAUGGUCAUAUCAGGAUGAACCUGCAGGAAGGGUACCACAUGAGGGAGGAGGAUGUCUUCCCUGUAACACACAGCGUUGAGAUUGCCUGCAAUGACAACAGGCUCAGUCCGAUGAUGCUGUGACACACCGCCCCAGACCAUGACGGACCCUCCCUCUCCAAAUCAAUCCAGAGUACAGGCCACGGUGUAACACUAAUUCCUUCAACGAUAAAUGCGAAUCCGACCAUCACCCCUGGUGAGAAACAACCGCGACUCGUCAGUGAAGAGCACUUUUUGCCAGUCCUGUCUGGUCCAGCGACGGUGGGUUUGUGCCCAUAGGAGACAUUGUUGCCGGUGAUGUCUGGUGAGGACCUGCCUUACAACAGGCCUACAAGCCCUCAGUCCAGCCUCUCUCAGCCGAUUGCAGACAGUCUGAGCACUGAAGGAGGGAUUGUGCGUUCCUGGUGUAACUCGGGCCAUUGUUGUUGCCAUCCUGUACCUGUCCCACAGGUGCGAUCCUGUGCAGGUGUUGUUACAUGUGGUCUGCCACUGCGAGGACGAUCCGUCCUGUCUCCCUGUAGCUCUGUCUUAGGCGUCUCACAGUACGGACAUUACAAUUUAUUGCCCUGGCCACAUCUGCAGUCCUCAUGCCUUCUUGCAGCUUGCCUAAGGCACGUUCACGCAGAUGAGCAGGGACAUCUUUCUUUUGGUGCUUUUCAGAGUCAGUAGAAAGGCCUCUUCAGUGUCCUAAGUUUUCAUAACUGUGACCUCAAUUGCCUACCGUCUGUAAGCUGUUCGUAUCUUAACGACUGUUCCACAGGUGCAUGUUCAUUAAUUGUUUAUGGUUCAUUGAACAAGCAUGGGAAACAGUGUUUAAACCCUUUACAAUGAAGCUCUGUGAAGUUUUUUGGAUUUUUACGAAUUAUUUUUGAAAGACAAGGUCCUGAAAAAGGGACGUUUCUUUUUUUGCUGAGUUUAUAAAUGGCCCAUUACAAAAGGAGCAGAUUACACCCAAGAGUAGUGUUCAAAUGCCCUUUUUUUCAUUUUAGACUGCCGGGCUAGCCUUUAUUGGGUGGCACAUCUGUUUGAAAAGGAUGUUUGUAAACCUAAUAUUCACAAUAUUCCCUUAUCAACAGCAAGACUUCUGAACCACUAUGGUUUAGUGACAUAAUCAUCCUCUAUAAUGUUUGUUUUAGUCAUGAAGCAUGUAGUAUCUCUUUCUAAUGUACAAUCAUACGAUCAACCAUAACAACAUCCACUGCUUUGUGAAAUUUGGCUCAAACCAUAAAGAUAAAAAGCUAAUGACAUUGUGUAAUGUGCAUAAUACAGAACACAUGCCGAGGGCCAUUUGUGCACAACUGCAAAGAUAUCCAGUCAGACUAGUUUCUAUAGGACUUCAUAUUUCACUGGUAAUACAAUAUGCACUUAUGGCAGUGGAACAUUGAAGAUCAGGACAUAAAUUAAUUUGACUUUCACCCAGGUUUUGCUUCAACGGGUGAGGCCUUGGAUUCUGUAAUAGCCAAACCCUGGCAGAGUGAGGAAUUUAAUAUCUUAUUCCCUUCUGUAUGUCUUUCAAGUAAAACAUUUCCCUAUCACUCUUCAAUACAUCUCUUUCUUAGGUAUACACAGUGCACCAUAUGGCUUGUUUCGUAAAGCUACAGUACCAUAGAAUAGCUGCUAAUUUAAAUACAGCCAAUCAAAUAAGAGUUGCUGUGUUUAUAGAUACACCUCCCAGAGGGGAAUGGUGAUGUCAUAUUGAAUAUGAUGUAAAGAAUUUGUUUUUCCUUUUUAUUUUAUUUUCAUUUCAUUUUCUUUUACAACAAUUAAAGACAAUGUCAGUCAUGUGUCUUAUUUCUCCUUAAAGCAACAGAGAGAGAAGUCAUCCAAGGCCAUUACAACAUCAAUGUCUCAAUUCUGCUAAAUGGCAGAGGAAAGAUAAUAGACAUGUGUGCAUGCAUAUUAAUUAACUGAUAAUGAGAAGAUAAGAGCCCUUCUCUCUGCAGGUGUGGAACCACUAAUCAAUUGCCAGUGAAAAUGGAGUAGAAAUGUGUUUUGUUUUAUCCCACAUCUGAAAUUAAAAAGCUAUUUAGCACCACAUUUUCUAACAAAGUGCUUUCCAUUUAUCUUCUCAAACACAUUAUUCAAUCACAAUUUCCAUUUGUAUAAUGGUAAUAUUUUCAUGUAAUUUCCCGCUUCCUCUGUGAUGGGUAUUUGUGAUAUGGGCUUUGUGAAAAGGCUAUUCCGUUCCAGCUCUAUUCACUCGCUGGUAAUAAAUUUACAACAUAUAUUUCAGAUUAAAUGUCUUGAGUAAAUGGACCAGGGCCUUGGAUAGCCACCAAAUACUGAUGGAUCGCUUCUGCAAUCUGGUGGUGACAAACAGAACUGCAGCUGUGUUUACAUGCCACCUGGUGGCAAAAAAGGCAUUGCAGUCUAUGGUAUUUGUAUCUAUGGGAACCAUUUCCUUUAUGGGUAAUAACAAGCAGGCUGCUGUCUACCCAAACACAGAGCUGUAACAGCUUCCUGAUGCCGUGUUAUGUAGUGUUGGAGCCUAGGACUGCUGGAGUGAUCAGUAAUAUGCUGUACAGCUGCAACAAAAACUGCCUUCAAAGCCUACUGAUUUGGCUGCUGUUUGGUUUAGCCUGUGGCAGGGUUGGAAGCUUUUGAAGUAACUGAUUGUAACUGCCACAUUAGAACAGAGGUGUGUGAUAGAGAGUGAGAUAGAGAUGGAGGUAAGAACAAUAAAUUACAUUAAAAACAAUAAAGGACAUUAGUCAGAUUGAAUCUAUACAUUUACUACCAUGUCUCAUUGUUGUUACAAUGACCAUACUGGCACAUUAACAGGAUAUAAACAUGGCACUGUGGACACUGAAGGUCCAGUUGAGAGAUUGAGAGAGAGAGAGUGUUCUGGACCAGCAACAGUAGACAGAGUAAGGAACCUGUGGUUGGUAGGUCUACAUCACAGAGUGGAGCGGGGCGUGUGGCUGGUUGGUUACAUCACAGAGUGGAGCGGGUUGUGUGGCUGGUUGGUUACAUCACAGAGUGGAGCGGGGUGUGUGGCUGGUUGGUUACAUCACUGAGUGGAGCGGGGCGUGUGGCUGGUUGGUUACGUCACAGAGUGGAGCGGGGCGUGUGGCUGGUUGGUUACAUCACAGAGUGGAGCGGGGCGUGUGGCUGGUUGGUUACAUCACAGAGUGGAGCGGGCGGGGUGGCUGGUUGGUUACAUCACAGAGUGGAGCGGGGUUACGUGUGGCUGGUUGGUUACAUCACAGAGUGGAGCGGGGUGUGUGGCUGGUUGGUUACAUCACAGAGUGGAGCGGGGGUGUGGCUGGUUGGUUACAUCACUGAGUGGAGCGGGGUGUGUGGCUGGUUGGUUACAUCACAGAGUGGAGCGGGGUGUGGGCUGGUUGGUUACAUCACAGAGUGGAGCGGGGCGUGUGGCUGGUUGGUUACAUCACAGAGUGGAGCGGGGGGUGUGGCUGGUUGGUUACAUCACAGAGUGGAGCGGGGGUGUGGCUGGUUGGUUACAUCACAGAGUGGAGCGGGGCGUGUGGCUGGUUGGUUACAUCACAGAGUGGAGCGGGGUGUGGCUGGUUGGUUACAUCACAGAGUGGAGCGGGAUGUGUGGCUGGGGUCCCAGAUGACACAGGGGUUGAUGGACAGUUGUGCAGCAUUGCCUUCCUCUGCAGGCAGGUCCUCCACCUGCAGACAGGCCAAUCUGUACACACACACACAGAGAGAGAGAGAGGAGAGAGAGAGAGAGAGAGAGAGAGAGAGAGAGAGAGAGAGGAG